rnacentral:rRNA from 1 species
AUUGAACGCUGGCGGCAUGCCUUACACGUGCAAGUCGAACGGCAGCACGGGGGCAACCCUGGUGGCGAGUGGCGAACGGGUGAGUAAUGCAUCGGAACGUGCCCAGUAGUGGGGGAUAACCAGUCGAAAGACUGGCUAAUACCGCAUACGACCUACGGGUGAAAGCGGGGGACCGUAAGGCCUCGCGCUAUUGGAGCGGCCGAUGUCUGAUUAGCUAGUUGGCGGGGUAAGAGCCCACCAGGGCGACGAUCAGUAGCUGGUCUGAGAGGACGACCAGCCACACUGGGACUGAGACACGGCCCAGACUCCUACGGGAGGCAGCAGUGGGGAAUUUUGGACAAUGGGCGCAAGCCUGAUCCAGCCAUGCCGCGUGCGGGAAGAAGGCCUUCGGGUUGUAAACCGCUUUUGGCAGGAACGAAACGGCGACUCCUAAUACGGGUCGCUAAUGACGGUACCUGCAGAAUAAGCACCGGCUAACUACGUGCCAGCCGCCGCCGUAAUAC